GCUCGCUUAACUCAGUUGGUUAGAGUGUGGUGCUAAUAACGCCAAAGCCACGGGUUCAACCCCUGUAGUGAGCA
rnacentral:tRNA from 1 species